GCAAGUCGAGCGGAAACACAAGGGAGCUUGCUCCUGAGGUGUCGAGCGGCGGACGGGUGAGUAAUGCCUAGGUAUCUGCCCAGUCGAGGGGGAUAACAGUUGGAAACGACUGCUAAUACCGCAUACGCCCUACGGGGGAAAAGAGGGGACCUUCGGGCCUUCUGCGAUUGGAUGUACCUAGGUGGGAUUAGCUAGUUGGUGAGGUAAUGGCUCACCUAGGCAACGAUCCCUAGCUGGUUUGAGAGGAUGAUC
rnacentral:rRNA from 1 species